CGGAAUUACUGGGCGUAAAGGGCUCGUAGGCGGCCAACUAAGUCGGAUGUGAAAUCCCCAGGCUCAACCUGGGAACUGCAUCCGAUACUGGAUGGCUUGAAUUCGGGAGAGGGAUGCAGAAUUCCAGGUGUAGCGGUGAAAUGCGUAGAUAUCUGGAGGAAUACCGGUGGCGAAGGCGGCAUCCUGGACCGACAUUGACGCUGAUGAGCGAAAGCUAGGGGAGCAAACGGG
rnacentral:rRNA from 1 species